UUCUGACUGCCUUUGCAUCAAGAUGUAGGGCUCCCUGCUCCUCCAGCAUCAUGUAUGUCUGCCCAGAUGCUGCCAUGCUUCCUGCCAUGACAACGGACUCAACCUCUGAAACUGUCUCACGUAGCCCAGCCUGGCCUCCAACUUUACGUAACCAAGGAUGACCUUCGGUUCCUAAUAAACAUCAGGGUAUGUACGACAAACACCAUGUGUGCUGAUACCCACAGAGGUCAGAAGACAUCAUUAGAGCUCCUGGAGCCAGAAUUACAGAUAUUUGUGUGAAUUGUCACACGGGUGCUGGGAAUGGAACCCAGGCCCUCUGAAAGAACAAGUGCUCCUAACCACUAGGCCAUCUCUCUAGCCCUGAAAGGGAUCAUUUUUUUAAAAAACAACUUUGGACAACAGACUCAUUUGACUAUAAAACGAAACUCUACAGAAGAAAUAUUCACACUUGAACUGCUGGAAAUAGCCCUAUACCUUGAGAGCUACCCUGUCUUCUUGAGUCAAGAACCCUGAGGUGACACUCCUUUCACCCACUGUCUGUCACUAAGCCAUGCAACAAGUUAUGCAUACUUUAAGACAGGCAGAGAGACCCUGCCCUAAUGGACAGCUCUCAAGUUUUGAACACCCUAGCUCCAGGUAGGCAGAGUUUGCCACAGGAAUCCAUUGCGAGCCUCUGCGUGAGUCCUCACAUGGCUGUGCAGGCAUCCACCGUGUCACACAGUGGAAGAGGGGCUGUCCUGAGUAAGUGGCUGGGGAUGCGUGUGAGUCCCCUCAACUCCCAAAGUUUCUCUGGCUGGGGGUCUGGGUGUGUGCUCUAUGUCUUAGUUUCACUCCUGUAAAAUAGAACUAAUAAUACCUAAUAAUACCCUGAUUCAUAGUAUUAUAGGAACGAAGAUAAGGAAAUGCAGGCAGCCUACUUAGAAUGAAGCCAGGGAUGUGGCUUGCCACCAUUACUAUAAAUAAGAAUAUUGUUGCUGAUAUUAAGAGUUCUGCAGAAGCUGGGUGGUGGUGGCACACGCCUGUAAUCCCAGCACUUGGGAGGCAGAGGCAGGCGGAUAUCUGAGUUCGAGGCCAGCCUGGUCUACAGAGAGUUCCAGGCCACCUAGGACUUCACAGUUAGAUCUGUCUUAAAACAGUACGAACAACAACACCCCCCACCCCUCCCAAGUGUCACAUCUAGAGGGACAAAGCAAGCAAUCUCUGGAGUUCAGUGUCAGCCUGGCCACACCAAUAGGCCUCAGGUUCACUGAAAGACCCUGUGUCAAAGAUGAGGGGAGAACAAUCGGGGCAGACACACAGUGUCACCCUCCGGCUUCUGUGCAUGUGUUAGCACACAGACUACACAGGCAUGUAUACACACCACAUACACCAAAACCACAAAACCAAAACCAGUUAAAUUCA